rnacentral:rRNA from 1 species
GAGGAAGUAAAAGUCGUAACAAGGUCUCCGUUGGUGAACCAGCGGAGGGAUCAUUACAAGAAGCCGAAAGGCUACUUACAACCAUCGCGAACUUAUCCAAGUUGCUUCGGCGGUGCGGAGCCCUUUACCGGGCGCCGCAGCCCCGGCCUCUCUAGACGGGGGCGCCCGCCGAAGGUACGAAACUCUUCUGUAUUAUAGUGGCAUCUCUGAGUAAAAAGCAAAUAAGUUAAAACUUUCAACAACGGAUCUCUUGGUUCUGGCAUCGAUGAAGAACGCAGCGAAAUGCGAUAAGUAAUGUGAAUUGCAGAAUUCAGUGAAUCAUCGAAUCUUUGAACGCACAUUGCGCCCGUUAGUACUCUAGCGGGCAUGCCUGUUCGAGCGUCAUUUCAACCCUCAAGCCCUGCUUGGUGUUGGGGCCCUACGUCUGACGUAGGCCCUGAAAGGAAGUGGCGGGCUCGCUAUAACUCCGAGCGUAGUAACUAUUAUCUCGCUAGGGAAGUGUGGCGUGCUCCGCCCGUUAACGACUCCAUAAGCGGCCAAGCAUAUCAAUGAGUCGAGUCG